rnacentral:rRNA from 1 species
GGGUCAGUAGGUUGGUCGUGCCACCGGUACGUACUGGUCUCACUGAUUCCUCCUUCCUGAAGAACCGUAAUGCCAUUAAUUUGGUGUUGCGGGGAAACAGGACUGUUACUUUGAAAAAAUUAGAGUGUUUAAAGCAAGCUAACGCUUGAAUACAUUAGCAUGGAAUAAUGAAAUAGGACGAUCGAUCCUAUUUUGCUGGUUUCUAAGAUUGGCGUA